rnacentral:rRNA from 1 species
GUAGGGAAUAUUGGGCAAUGGAUGCAAGUCUGACCCAGCCAUCCCGCGUGCCGGAAGAAGGCCCUCAGGGUUGUAAACGGCUUUUGACGGUGAAGAAUCGACAGGAUGCGUCCUGUUUUGACGGUAGCCGUUGAAUAAGCACCGGCUAACUCCGUGCCAGCAGCCGCGGUAAUACGGCGGGUGCGAGCGUUGUCCGGAUGUAUUGUGUUUAAAGGGUGCGUAGGCUGGAAGGUCAGUCAGCGGUGAAAAGCUGUCGCUUAACGAUAGUCUUGCCGAAGAUACUUCCUUUCUUGGAUGAGGAGGAGGCCACUGGAACGGAUGGUGUAGCGGUGAAAUGCAUAGAUAUCAUCCAGAACACCGAUUGCGAAGGCAGGUGGCUGUACCUUAAUCGACGCUGAUGCACGAAAGCAUGGGGAGCAAACAGGAUUAGAUACCCCGGUAGUCC